UGUCUAUUUUCAGACAAUCUCAGUAUCUGUCGAACUCGUCUUCGCCAACUACACCAAUGCGAAUUUCAUACCUGCAAUGACCCUCAGUGUGUCCGAGGGGACAAAAGCUUUUGAAAUACUCGAGAUGGCUUCCCAACAAAACCCGUGCUACAGAUUCCAAUUUCAAACAUUCAGUAUUGGUCGCUUCAUUACAAGAAUAUGCUGUCUCGAACAAGAUCCAUCAGCUGACUUUUAUUGGCUCCUUUACAAGAAUGGUCAACUUUCCCAUCUUGGAGUUGAUGUGUUAACACCGGCGAAUGGAGAUACCAUUACCUUCAAAUACCAAAACGUUUGAACAUAAUUAUAUUAUACGACAAACGCUCUCAGUCUUGUGCAAACUUACUGUCUAACUUUCGUACUUUCUUUAAUUAAUUAAUUUUAAACUAACUACUCUGUUAUAGUCAAACCGGACCUGUGAGAGGUUACUGUUAUUUAUUUAAUUAUUUAAUAAGACAACUAUUAAAUGAUGUAA